UUGUGUGCUAUGGAGCUGGUCCUCUAUAACUUCAGAGAGCUGUUUCUUAUUGACCCAUGUGAAGAUUUUCAGGGAAGAUCACACAAAAAAAGAGUCAGAAGAAUACAUGUAUUUGACUAAGGGCUGUGAGAACACUAGGCCCCAUAAAUGAUGCAGGUGAGGCAGUGACUCUCCUGAAUCAGUGCUUCGAUGCAGUAAUGAACUGGAUAAGGGUGAAUAAGCCGAGACUCAAUCCAUACAAGACAGAAGAAAAAUGAAACCAUGCUGCUGAGAGAAUUUGAAAUCCAGCUUUUUCUUUGAACCCAACUUUUUCUUUGAUAUGGGCACGAGUGAAAAUGUAAAACAGCUUAACUCUCAUGUUAAACCAAAGGACCUGCUCUUGAAAAAGAACAGCAAGCUAAACACAGAAUGGAUUACUUUCUCAAAAUAAAUUUGUCCUCUCUACCAUCUUUGGAUGUUUGUUUUGUGGAUUGAGGAAGCUCUCUAGCUUCUGGGCCAUGAUUAAGUUGCAAGAGAGAGAGAAGAACUGAAGUGAGCUGGGCUAGCCUCUCUCUUUCCUCCCUCUCCUCUUGCUUACCAACUCACUCCUCAUUAUUGCUUUUAUUUUGUUCUGUCUGGACACUUGUUUCAUGCACUUUUGUGGCAAUUUGAAGGAGGAGAUAUAUGAUUCAGGUUUCCUGCAUCAAGAACGUGGUUUAAAUAUGAAUGUCACAUCAUGGAUCAUUUUAUAUGCAUGGGCAUAAAUGUCCUCAUUUCCUUAUGAUGAUUGCUUUCACCUUACUUUCAUAAAUAAUUAAGAAGUUGAAUGAGCAUCAUUUGUAGCAGGGUUCAAUUAGCAGACAACCCCCCCCCCGCCUCCCCAUAGUGAUUUUGCCUACAUUGUUCCUGAGAUGAAAGUAAGGGGACAUUCAGUUUGUUUCUUCAGGUCAAGUGUUGCUGGAAAAUGGAGCAAGUUGCCUAUACCAAGAGGGUCAGAUGCCAGUGAAAUUUUGUUGUUCCUGCUAAAGAUUUGCAGUGGGUCAGUUCUCAACUAAUGAGAUUGCUAGAUUAUAAAUAUCAAGGAAGAGUAGGCUUCACAUAUAGUCAAGGAAAAAAGCUUUUGUAUACCUAAUUUAAAGUAGGAGAUUUAGAUCUUCAUUCUAGAUACAUUUAAAUUUAGCUAAUUACACAGAAGUCAAUAUAGAUGUGUUUAGUGUAAGCCCUGUGCAGGAGUCCAUUAACACCGCAAACAAACACAUAGUAGAGGGAUGGGAUUGUGCUCACUAGUCCAAUGCUCCAACCUCUAUGUGUUCAAAGUCCCAUUUGCUUAGCACCUUAAGCUAUCUCAGUGUCUGUACCACAUGCUCAUUUGUGCACAUAAUGAACAUCUGGAUUGGGGUAUUGAGUCCUGAAAAUGUAAAUGUAUUUCUUAAGAUGAUGUGUGUGUUUUACACCUCAGCUGUUAUUAAUACUGGUUAUUUACAAUGACAUUGCUAAAUGUACAUGUCACCUCAGAAUGCUCACUUUUAGGGAUACAGAACUCCUUCACACUAUUUGACUCCCAGCCUGAUAAUAACUCUCUGGCCUUUAAUUAUCCACUUAACCAAUUCAGUGACAAUGGAAUGGGUCAAUGUCCAAGAGUUGGAGAUAUGGAAUUCCAUAACUGGUGCCUAGGGCUCCUCCAUUUUCAGAACCAGUUCUACCGGUAUAGCAAAUAUUGCCCCCCUCCAUCUCAUUCUGAUGCAGAAGUACUAUUGCAGAUGUGAUGGAGAAGAAUGGACACAGGAAAUGAAUGCUAUAUGACUUGGUAAAGGGCAGCUUAAGCUUUCCACCACAGGGGGAAGUAGAACAUCUGUAGUUAUCCAUACUGCUAGGCAAUGGGGAUGUCAUCUCCUUGUGGAAAGAUAUAUAUGGGGGAAAGAAACUUAAGCCACAUGGACAUAUGUUUGAGAGGGGUAUGUGUGUGUGUAGAUAUGCUGUAAUGGUUUGUUGGUAAACCUAGUUUUAGUAACUAAAAGAAUUAUAGUUACUAACCAUUAUUUCAUUAUUGUGUUGUACCUGGAGUUCUAAAGGUUGUUCAGCAACAUAGUACUUUCUAUUGUUGCCUUGGUUACAGGACCCCAAAACAUCUGCUUAAUACCAAGGGCAGAAGGAGGCCAUGGCCUCAGUGAGCAGAACUGCACCUUAGGUACAAAGAUGAAUGUUAGAUUGGUAAUGACUGUUAAAGAUCAAGAAGUUAAAUGUACACUGGUGGUGCUGCAAGCAAUAAAUUGCAUAUUUCUCUGUAGAAAAUGAAGCCAAAGGGCACUGUCUAAACUGACCAUGCAUAAACUGACCAAACAUAACGUAUGUUUAUAGGGCCUGAUGAACACAAAGCAAAAAGUAGCUAUCAAGCUGAACUGCACCAUAAAAGCAACACUUCUUCUAGAUGGAGCUGUAUGUGUUAAGUAUGAUGCUUAGAACCAUGAAUGGGGCACCACAAAUGCAUUGAUAGCUGAAUUCAAGGGUUCUCAAAUGAGUCCACAGAUAUUGUUGGACUACAACUCCCAUCAUCUAAGUCUGAGAACUCCUGACCUAAUUGAUUCCACUCUAGUCACUUAGAAAAUGUUAGAAGAAACUAGGUUGGAGGUGAGAGAAGCACGGGUGGAAAGGCUUAGUGAGGAGCAAUGGAGUUUUGCUCCCUCGUGGUCAAAAGCUAGCCUGGAGAUUCCUCUCAUGGAAGGACCUCUGCAGAUCCUUGAGAGACAGGAUUAUAGGAAGCUUGAUUCUCAUCAGAUGGUGGGUAAGUUUUCAAGGAAAAGGGGAUUCAGCCUAGGGAAGAGUUUGUUAGUCGGAUUUUGCAUUACAAACUUAUAUUUCUUUGGUGUGUUUUGUAAAUCCCUGAUAGGAUGGUCUAUCUGUAAGCUUUUAAGGGUGCUUUUGUAUUUUCCUACAUCUGUGUUCUUUGCAACUGGGUAACCACGAUUUUUAAAGUAUGCCACUCCAACAUCAUCUGGGGUGCUUUUUGAAGUAUUCUUGUAACCUACUGAGUAUUUCCUUUACAUGUAACUAAAAGCUGAGAGAGUCUCAGACCAAAGCAGUCUGUAACAUUUGAAUAAAGUUCUUUUUUGUUCUUUGCAUUUUACAA